CCUAGACCUGGCCAGAGGGGUGCAGGGGGGGGUGCUAUUUUUCAUGAUAAAGAAAAAAAUAUUAGAGACAAAACGAGAUACAGUAAUUUGAGUAAUAACAUGAUAAGCGAACUGUGAACAACAAUAAUAGUUCAAAUACAGUAGUCAAGCAAGUACUGCUGUAUGUUGAUGGGCGGGCGGUGCAUGUGCCCGAGACAACUCUGCACCAGUGCUGGCAGAGCACCCCCCCCCCUCCACCAGAUCAUGCUGGAUCCAUUCCUGCUGUAUUUAAUGAUGGUAAUCAUAUUUAAUACCAAACCUUCGAAUGAUAGAAAAAAG